UGGGGAAUAUUGCACAAUGGGCGCAAGCCUGAUGCAGCCAUGCCGCGUGUGUGAAGAAGGCCUUCGGGUUGUAAAGCACUUUCAGCGGGGAGGAAGGCGAUAAGGUUAAUAACCUUGUCGAUUGACGUUACCCGCAGAAGAAGCACCGGCUAACUCCGUGCCAGCAGCCGCGGUAAUACGGAGGGUGCAAGCGUUAAUCGGAAUUACUGGGCGUAAAGCGCACGCGGGCGGUCUGUCAAGUCGGAUGUGAAAUCCCCGGGCUUAACCUGGGAACUGCAUUCGAAACUGGCAGGCUAGAGUCUUGUAGAGGGGGGUAGAAUUCCAGGUGUAGCGGUGAAAUGCGUAGAGAUCUGGAGGAAUACCGGUGGCGAAGGCGGCCCCCUGGACAAAGACUGACGCUCAGGUGCGAAAGCGUGGGGAGCAAACAGG
rnacentral:rRNA from 1 species